ensembl:rRNA 5S_rRNA 5S ribosomal RNA
UCCUACGACCAUAUCCCUUCAGACUAUGAACUCCUCAGUUCUCAUCCUCUAAGCAGGGUUGGGCCUAGUCACUACUUGGAGGGGAAACCUCCAAGGAAAACCCAGGGGACUGGCUAUUGAGGAU